rnacentral:piRNA from 1 species
UACACUCCUCCCAUCCACGAAGCCCC